rnacentral:rRNA from 1 species
UGUAAGUUUUUUAGGGCGCACGGUGGAUGCCUUGGCACAAGGAGCCGACGAAGGACGUGUGAGUCUGCGAUAAGCCUCGGGGAGUUGACAACUGAGCUGUGAUCCGAGGAUGUCCGAAUGGGGAAACCCACCAGGGGUCAUGCUCUGGUACCCGCCACUGAAUGUAUAGGUGGUAUGGAGGGAACGCGGGGAAGUGAAACAUCUCAGUACCCGCAGGAAGAGAAAACAAAAGUGAUUCCGUGAGUAGUGGCGAGCGAAAGCGGAGGUGGCUAAACCUUGUUUGUGUGAUACCCGGCAGGGGUUGCAGGCGAGGGGUUGUGGGACGUAUCGGUCUGGUCUGCCGGCCAGACGGCGUGGA